ensembl:lncRNA
GCAGAAACAAAAUGUAACUGAGCGUAUACUUCACAAUGAGAGUCUAAGUAUUAAGUGUGGUGUCACUGAGAUUGUAAUUAGGAAAAGGUGUGUCUGAUUAGUUCACAAGAGAAGGUGACGGGACAGUGUGUAGUUUUGGGAGUUGUCAAGCAUGUUUGUAGUUUGAGGUGCAUUCUGGGAAAUUUCAUCACUGGUUUGCAGUUUUGGUAAGUCAUUUUUUCCAUGGCCAACAUUAAUUCUGAGUAUUACAUUUACCUCUGAUUGGUUACUGGCAGUAAGUCCCAGUGCGACAUAUCCAGAUGUUGUACCACUGAGUUCAAUGGACGCAGUUUGGUUGUUCACUUGAAUGGAACUGAAAAAGCAGCUGGAGUUUCCUGAAGGAUCACAAUUAGACGCAUUUGACAAGCACAGCUUAGUGGCGCCACAACCGUUACGAGUGAUGUUGAGCUGAAGAUUAACAGAGAAAGUAAAUUAACAUUAUUCAUUCUGUCCUGUUGAUCCAGGCCUUAUCAGCACUGUUUAUACUGAUCAUCACAGAGAUAGAAAAAAAUUAUAUUGGUUCAUUUAAAAAAACUAAUAUUAAUGUAAAUGAGACAGGAGGGACGUUAACAGGAGCGUCAGGAGCAGUGAUGAUGAUUGUGAAUAAUAAACUCCAUUACCAGUGGUGUUGUGCUGUUGCUUGGAAUAUUGCUCUUGGGAUUUGCCAAGUCGAAAGGUCCGGUGGUAAUUAAUGUAGUUGCAUUUUCCAGUUCAGUUCCUGUAGGAUUAGAACAGAGUAUCAUUACUGAACCAUACUGCUGGUGGAAUCCCUGCCACCGUCUCACCCGUGCAUUACAUUAUCAGCUUCAGUUCUGAUGAGCAUUAGAUAAUUAAUUGAGUCAAAAAGCUUCCAUCCAUUGAUUUUCUGUACCGCUUAUCAC